rnacentral:lncRNA from 1 species
GAUAAAUCCGAGCGCAGCCUCCACCAUUGCAGUUUGCAGUUUUGCGGAGCUGGGCUUGCGCCGCGGAUCCCUCCUAGGUCCUACGCCCGGUUCCUGGGCCUCCGCCGGACUUCGGCCGCGCGGCCUCCUCUCUGGCGAAGCCUUUUCCCAGCCCCCCUCCCCCCAUGUCGACCGCCCCUGCAUACAGUGAAGACAAGGGCGGCUCCGCUGGCCCUGGAGAGCCCGAGUACGGCCACGACCCGGCGAGCGGCGGCAUCUUCUCCUCCGACUACAAGCGGUG